UACGAAGGGGGCUAGCGUUGUUCGGAAUUACUGGGCGUAAAGCGUGCGCAGGCGGCUUCUCAAGUCAGGGGUGAAAGCCCAGAGCUCAACUCUGGAAUUGCCUUUGAGACUGAGUGGCUUGAGUACGAGAGAGGAGAGUGGAAUUCCCAGUGUAGAGGUGAAAUUCGUAGAUAUUGGGAAGAACACCGGUGGCGAAGGCGGCUCACUGGCUCGUAACUGACGCUCAUGCACGACAGCGUGGGGAUCAAACAGG
rnacentral:rRNA from 1 species